GGCGACUGCCCCGACACGCUGCAACUGGAGGUUGCGGUAAACUGGACAGUGGAACAGGUGAAGGCACAAGUGUGGCUGAAUGCGAUGACAUCCAACCUCUGUCCAGAAUUCUACCAGCGGUUUUCUCCUGACCACUGCAUACUACUCUACCAGAAAAAA